AACGUACGCUGGCGGCACGCCCCAACACAUGCAAGUCGAACGAACCCUUCGGGGUUAGUGGCGCACGGGUGCGUAACGCGUGGGAACCUGCCUUUAGGUUCGGAAUAACUCAGAGAAAUUUGAGCUAAUACCGGAUGAUGUCUUCGGACCAAAGAUUUAUCGCCUUUAGAUGGGCCCGCGUUAGAUUAGAUAGUUGGUGGGGUAAUGGCCUACCAAGUCGACGAUCUAUAGCUGGUCUGAGAGGAUGAUCAGCCACACUGGGACUGAGACACGGCCCAGACUCCUACGGGAGGCAGCAGUGGGGAAUAUUGGACAAUGGGCGAAAGCCUGAUCCAGCAAUGCCGCGUGAGUGAUGAAGGCCUUAGGGUUGUAAAGCUCUUUUACCAGGGAUGAUAAUGACAGUACCUGGAGAAUAAGCUCCGGCUAACUCCGCG
rnacentral:rRNA from 1 species